GACGAACGCUGGCGGCGUGCCUAAUACAUGCAAGUUGAGCGCUGAAGGUUGGUACUUGUACCAACUGGAUGAGCAGCGAACGGGUGAGUAACGCGUGGGUAAUCUGCCUUUGAGCGGGGGACAACAUUUGGAAACGAAUGCUAAUACCGCAUAAAAACUUUAAACACAAGUUUUAAGUUUGAAAGAUGCAAUUGCAUCACCCAAAGAUGAUCCCGCGUUGUAUUAGCUAGUUGGUGAGGUAAAGGCCCACCAAGGCGAUGAUACAUAGCCGACCUGAGAGGGUGAUCGGCCCCAUUGGGACUGAGACACGGCCCAAACUCCUACGGGAGGGAGCAGUAGGGAAUCCUCGGGAAUGGACGAAAGUCUGACCGAGCAACGCCGCGUGAGUGAAGAAGGGUUUCGGAUCGUAAAAAUCUGUUGGUAGGGAAGAACGUUGGUGGGAGUGGAAAGCUCACCAAGUGACGGUAACUACCCAGAAAGCGACGGCUAACUACGUG
rnacentral:rRNA from 1 species